AGAUCCGACGAGUUCGCGAAUAUUGGGGUCAGAACUGCAGCAGUUUUAAAGGAGUAUUGUUUUGGAUUUAGCGAUCCACUGUAGAUAAUAUUUUGACGUGAUCAGACUUCUAUUCCUUCUUCCGGAAGUCAAUAUUUUAUAAUGUAAAUGAAAAUCGAUGUUUACUUCUAGAGCCGCAGUAGUCUAGUAGUUUAGAGGUC